rnacentral:rRNA from 1 species
GACGAACGCUGGCGGCGUGCCUAAUACAUGCAAGUAGAACGCUGAAGGAGGAGCUUGCCCUUCUGGAUGAGUUGCGAACGGGUGAGUAACGCGUAGGUAACCUGCCUGGUAGCGGGGGAUAACUAUUGGAAACGAUAGCUAAUACCGCAUAACAGUAGAUGUUGCAUGACAUUUACUUAAAAGGUGCAAUUGCAUCACUACCAGAUGGACCUGCGUUGUAUUAGCUAGUUGGUGGGGUAACGGCUCACCAAGGCGACGAUACAUAGCCGACCUGAGAGGGUGAUCGGCCACACUGGGACUGAGACACGGCCCAGACUCCUACGGGAGGCAGCAGUAGGGAAGCUUCGGCAAUGGACGGAAGUCUGACCGAGCAACGCCGCGUGAGUGAAGAAGGUUUUCGGAUCGUAAAGCUCUGUUGUAAGAGAAGAACGAGUGUGAGAGUGGAAAGUUCACACUGUGACGGUAUCUUACCAGAAAGGGACGGCUAACUACGUG